UAUAUAAAGCACAAAAACUAGAUAAAGAGCUCAAAUUUGGGGAACUUGGGUGUUGAAUGUUUGUUUGAUGUGUUUGACAGAUGGCAAAUGUAAACAAUAAUAAAAAUUGAAAUAUUUCUUUAUUGUAGUAAAGUAGAGCAAAAUUUAAAUACUAGAUCACUUAUAAACAAAUAAGAAAAGGUUUAAACACCUAGAAUUUUCGUUGCUUGAUUAGUUGUUUAGGUUAGGUUUGACCUUGUGACCUUGUUAUGACCGUCACGUUUAGAAGCGAAAUUUGCAUUGAAAGGGCCAUUAAAAGCCUCAAAGAGGGUUUGGGGAGGCAUUGUCAUGUUCCAAUUACAUGACCCCCCUGCUGCUAGUUUCACGGGAAAUCAUAUUACAUAUUACCGUUCCAAGAACACUUGUGGAGGAGUUCCUUUAGCCCUUAAUUGGUCAUUAGGUCAUAAGACAAAGCGAAGAACGUUACUACUCGUAUAAUGUAUAGAAACCAAAUAUUUGAGUCCAAAAAAUUCAGUUAUGACGUUGACGGUUAUGAGAUUGACAUUGUGCAGAUCAUUGCAGGUACGUCUCAAAAUUAAAUAAGACAACCAUCAUGGGCCCUAAUCUCAAGUUGACUUAGAACCGGUGCAAAUCGGGAUUGACAUAGCAACGACGUAAAUCUAGCAAUGCCAUUCGAUGCUGCUAUGUAACUGCGACCUGCGCAAUUUUGCGACCAAACUUGAAAUCAGCCCCAUAGUGCUUAAUUCAUGCAAUCAAGUUUCCGAAACUAUCUGACGAAGAGAAAAUAGAAAUGUUACAGUAAUUCGUGAUAAAAAUUGAAACCACUUACCAGAUGUAGGAAAGAAAAUAAUUGGUAGCCCUAGCCUAAAACUGUGGAAGAAGUUACCCUGUACUCAGAGUUUAUGAAUUACAUGAAAAAAAGUAGAAGUACGAUGAAGGAUUUGUAUAAUUCUCUGUGAAAUUGCAAAACCCUUACGGCGGUCACUAUCUUUUAUGAAAUUUACUAUUAACAAAAUAACCGACCUGUCGAAACUCAAGUAAUUACGGAAUACGAGGAGGUUAUCCCCCUUUGUGUUACAGACUUGUAGAAAUAUACAAUCUGUCUAUGAAUGAAUGUCGGAUCGUAUUAGGUAUUAAAAGUUUCUUGCUUCCUUCAAGAAAAAACGAACGAUGUUAGUAUAUGACAAAAUUGGUCUUACUAGUUAUCUGGGUAGAUAAAAAUUGGUACUUUUCAGAAAUUUCAUAGAAAUAAAAUAGUUAAAUGCGACAAAUUCAAAUUCCGGAACCACCUGAGAUCCUACACUCUUUUAUAAACAGUCCGUAGACCAAGGAUGGAUAUAGAUUCAAAAAAUGUAAUGGCCUAGAAAUCCCCAUUUGUAAAUACUGAUCUGCGUCAUGAACAAAAUAUUUCGUUUGAGUAAGUUAUGUAACUUACCCUGCAACUAUCCCUACUAUCAAUGCACUACCAUUUUACAUACACACAACAUAUUAAACCAUUCGAAAUGCAUUCAUUCAGACUCAACAAUCAUAAGUACAAUUUCCUCUUCACUUUCAACAUCUGACAUUCUACUUUCUUCAUUCAUUGCCACCACAAUCGUACUGGGAUAUACCAUAUUGCAUACGCCACUACUUGUUCCUUGUUCCUCAUUCACCAUCAAUGUAUCUUCUCUUUCAACCGAUUCAUUCACACUAACUUCAUUACCAGAAUCUUCAUUAUCCGAUAGUGACAAUAAGCUAAAGUCAGUAUCAGAUUCAGACUCUGCUAAUGAAAUUAUCACGGGAGGAAUAUCAUCCACACUGGUAAAUGCACCCAUAUAUCUUGCCCAGUCGUCCUUAAUCAGUUUUUCACAGUGUUUCACACUAUUCCUCCACAUGUCCACAGUAAAACUGGAAAGCGCUUCUUGCCAUAAAGCCCUAACCGUGUCUUUCGACGAUGGCCGGGACCUUAUGUGCUUAUUAUAGUAAGUUUUACAAUACCCCCAUGCCAGUUCAAUAGGAUUGUAUUGACAAUGGUAAGGGGGUAUUCUAAGAACCUCACACCCAUUUUGCUUCAGUAGCUCAUCAAUAACAAAUUUCCUAUUAAUUUUGUCUGCCGAAAAAGGUUUAAUUAAA